AACCUGGUUGAUCCUGCCAGUAGUCAUAUGCUUGUCUCAAAGACUAAGCCAUGCAUGUCUAAGUAUAAGUAUUAUACAGCGAAACUGCGAAUGGCUCAUUAAAACAGUUAUAAUUUAUUUGAUAAUCGAAUUUACAUGGAUAACCGUGGUAAUUCUAGAGCUAAUACAUGCUGGUAGGCCCGACUUUUUGGAAGGGCGGUAUUUAUUAGAUAACAAACCAAUAUUCCUCUGGUCUAUUGUGGUGAAUCAUAAUAACUGAUCGAAUCGCAAGGUUUUUAACCGCGAUAAGUCAUUCAAGUUUCUGCCCCAUCAGCUUUCGAUGGUAGUGUAUUGGACUACCAUGGCUUUUACGGGUAACGGAGGAUUAGGGUUCGAUUCCGGAGAGGGA
rnacentral:rRNA from 1 species